CACAAAACUUGGCUUCUGCUUCCCCCUUUUGCCCUUUCCUUUUUUCUAUUUUCUAAACCUAAUUGAUUAAUUUCUCUCAAAAACAUUGCUUGGCUGUUGCUCUAAUUCACGACUACAAUAGAAGAGACAACGACGUCGACUUCACGACCUCGGCGACGGCGACUCCUCCUCUCGUCGACUACUUAUUUGCUCAUUGUUCACCUUUAAUAUUUAUUUUUCAAGUCUUCAACAGUGUGGCGUCGGAAUAUGCAUUUAGCAUCGGUGGUCAUAUUCUUGAUUCAUUCAGGAGUUCAUUGCCUCCUAAAUGCGUGCAAGCUCUUGUUGUAUUCAAGAUUGGCUUAGAGAAGAGAAGAAUCCUAUUAGUGUUGAAGAAGAGUGGGAGUAUCUUGAGGAACUCGAACUUGAUAUGGAAAAUAAUGGAAGCACUACUAGCAUUGUUAAUGUAUAGUUGCAACUUUAGUGGUUCAAGUUCAAUCAUGUCACGUGCUCCUAAAGUGUGCUCACAUAUUUGGGAAUACUUUGAGAUGUAGAAGAUAACAAAGAAGUUCGCAAAGUAGAGUACAAGCACUGUGGUCGAGUCUUCAAUGUUCAUCCAAAGAGGGAUGGCAUAUAUGGUUUAAGGAAGCAUGACAGGGCUUGUCUUGAGCGUCUUCCAAAAAUUCUUAUUUAAGUUGAAUUCAGUGAAUUGAGACAAUCUAUGUUAUUUUGCUUUUAUUAAACUGUCUUGCUAUUGUUGCCUUGUGGUAUUUUGCUCUGUUAUUGCACUGUAACAAUAUAACAGAGGAGUCGACUUGGAAUC